GUGCAGCAGUCGCGCAACCUCUGCAAUACGCGAAAGCGUGACAGGGCUACCCCGAGUGCCGUCCGCUGAGGAUGGCUUUUGCCUGGUCUAACCAGCCGGGUGAAUAAGGGGAGGGCAAGUCUGGUGUCAGCCGCCGCGGUAAUACCAGCUCCCCGAGUGGUUGGGACGAUUAUUGGGUCUGAAGCGUCCGUAGCCGGCCGGAAAAGUUCCCCGUUAAAUCUGGCGAUCCAAUCGUUGGGCUGCGGGGAAUACUCUUCGGCUUGGGGGCGAGGGAGGUCGGCGGUAGUCCCGGGGUAGGGGUAAAAUCCUAUAAUCCCGGGAAGACCACCAGUGGCGUAGGCGGUCGGCUAGCACGCGCUCGACAGUGAGGGACGAAAGCUGGGGUAGCGAACCGGAUUAGAUACCCCUGGAGUCC
rnacentral:rRNA from 1 species